GGGGAUGUUUAGGAUUCGACAGGGAUGCUGUUCUAUUUAGUGGCACGUAAGAGGGAUGUCUCUUUAAAAACACAACAGUUUAAAUAUAACUGACAACAAUAGAUCAUUAGCUUUAGCAGCUUAAUUAGCUAAAGGCUGAUUACUUUGUUUGACUGUGGCAAAGAUAAUCGGUUCAUUAACAGCAGUCUAUACAAAAUAACUUCUGUUUGUAGUUAUUUUGAAGAAAAUAAUCAAACUCGUUUCUAAAAGCCAGUUUAUCGGCACAUCUUAGAAAUUAAAAUUAAUAGAUAAACUAAACGUGUAGAAGGUAAGUAGAGGUGUUUUUGGACGCGGGUUCAAAUCCCGCCAUCUCCAU
rnacentral:tmRNA from 1 species